rnacentral:lncRNA from 1 species
UAUUUAAAAUCAUGUUUUGAGUCAUAUUUGGUAAAUUCUCCAACAAAUAUUUAAAUCUCUCUCACUCUCUCCUCCCUCCUUCUCUCACUCUCUCCCUCCCUCCUUCUUUCUCUUCCAUUCUAAACAAAUGAGACAAUAUUCUAUAGUAUUCUGUUCUAUUUAGAAAACAUAAAAUAAAAAUGCAACAUUACAACUCUCUCUCUCCCACUCUCUCUAUUCAAUCUAUUUCUUUCUUUAUUCCAUA